rnacentral:rRNA from 1 species
CCUACGGGGGGCUGCAGUGGGGAAUUUUGGACAAUGGGGGAAACCCUGAUCCAGCCAUGCCGCGUGCGGGAUGAAGGCCUUCGGGUUGUAAACCGCUUUUGUCAGAGACGAAAAGGGACGUACGAAUAAUACGUUCCGCUGACGGUAUCUGAAGAAUAAGCACCGGCUAACUACGUGCCAGCAGCCGCGGUAAUACGUAGGGUGCAAGCGUUAAUCGGAAUUACUGGGCGUAAAGGGUGCGCAGGCGGCUGUGCAAGACAGAUGUGAAAUCCCCGGGCUUAACCUGGGAACUGCAUUUGUGACUGCACGGCUAGAGUUUGUCAGAGGAGGGUGGAAUUCCGCGUGUAGCAGUGAAAUGCGUAGAUAUGCGGAAGAACACCAAUGGCGAAGGCAGCCCUCUGGGACAUGACUGACGCUCAUGCACGAAAGCGUGGGGAGCAAACAGGAUUAGAUACCCUAGUAGUC